CUGUUUUGACCAAAGUGAAUUUUGGCUGUUACAGUUUAUGGCCACAUUCCGUUUUGUUUACGUUCAGAAAUAAUGAACAUACUUCUAUGUUACAUAGAAAAAAUUCAUAAAAGAUGGCAGAAGCUGUAUCAGAGCCUGAUGUUAUUCGCGAGCCUUUUUACAGACUUACAGAAGUUAAACACGAAUACGACGCCUUAGAAAGAUUGGCACAGGAUGUACAAAAUGAUGUGACGGAAGCAAAUGCGGAUGUUGAAAGAUUAGAAUUAGAGAGGAAAUGGUGCUUUGAUGAAGAUGGAAAUAGAAAUCGACCACAAGCCAGUGAAGAGGCUGAUAGAAUAAUUAAUGAAUCAAAUAAUUAUCCUGAUCUCAUACAAGAUGUCAUCGGUAAUUUACAACAAAGGAAAACUGAUUUACAAAUGAGUGUAUCCGACCAGGAAAGAAAAGUGAAAAAUUCUACACUACCAGAUAACUAUUAACGCCAUUAUUGCAUCUUAAAACUUUUAUGUUUAAUUUGAGAGAUGUAAUUAUAAUAUAUAGUAAAUUGUCAGGCCUGAAGUAAGACAUCUUUCUCACAAGUCAUUGUUUUUUAGAUAUUUGACUCAUGAGCUGAAAAAAGGUCCCCUUAGUUUGCAAAAUCAAAAAAUUGCUUUUCUCAAGAAAAAAGUAACUCUUGCUGUUUGAACAAGUAAGAGAAUUAUAUGAUAAUAAGGCAAGUGAUAUCUAUCAUUUAUAAGGCAGAUGUACUUAGAGUAAGAUAUAUACAGAGGCUAUAUUAAUAGCAUAUGUAAUAAUACAAUGGCUACUAAUGUGAAAUAUGCAAAUUAUGGGAACCGAUUUUCAGCUGUUAGGUGUUCAAAAAAAUGAAAACAACCUUAUUGAUUGAUGGUCUUGGUGUUCCAGUGCUAUCAAACACCUUUAAAAAAAACAAUGACUUCGGGCAGUGUCAAACUGUCUAACACAAAGCUAAUAAUAUCACGGACAUAGUCAGAUUCAAUCCCGCUCUCAUCUUGGGGGCUGGGGUUGCUGGCCGAAUGGUUCAGUGCGCGUUGUAUCAGAAGGUCUGUCAGUGAAUCAAGUGGCAUGGUUUCAAUUCCCCGCUUGUACGUGACAAGGAGUAGGGUUGCCUGUCCAACCUCAUGGGUUUUCUCCGGUUUCCUCCCACUGCUAAAGAUCCCUACACACAAGCGAAUUGUUGAAAUAAAAAUUGAAUUAUAUGUUAGUCCUAAAAUGACCUAGUUUGUGUCGAGUGGACAUUAAACCCCAUUUCUCUCUCCCCAUUUUAGAUUUAAUAAAAUUUUACCUGAAGAAUAGUCCUACAUGUCUGCGUGGUAGAAGUGGACACCAAGUGAAAUGACGUUAAAAAUCAAAAUGGUUCGGUGAUUGUUUCAGUUUCCGUCACAUUUUAUGAACCAUAAAAUAGCCAGUUGAUAAAGAAAGAUUUAUUAAAAAUUGAUCAGAAUUUGUAAUGUAUUUAGUUUUUGUGUACAUAAUUAUAACAAUUAAAUUUUAACCUAAGAUAAUGUAAUCUUUGCAAUUUGAUUUUUUUUUUUUUAAAUCAUUUUGAAUUUUUUUAUAAAAUGUAAUUUAAAUAUUAUCAAUUAAUAACUGCUUUUUAUGUGCCCACAUGUGAUAUGGAUGUAUAUUGUCAUUCGUUUUCAAAUUCGCAGGCUUUCUAAUUUUUGUGUUAAGGAAGAAACCUAUUGAAAUUACAAAGUUAACCCUCCAUUUUUGUUCAGAUUUAUGAAAGCUUAUAAAUACGACAGACAGGGGACAAAGUUUUUAUAUGGAAUGUUUUACAACUCCGUUGAAAUGCAAUCUGAUUAAAACACAGGGCCCUUAUUCACGAAAACUUAAACUAAGAUACAAUCGAAAUU